AUGUAUCACUCGUGGACCGCGGUUCUAAGCGCACCGUCCACACCCACCAGAUGGCUGCUCGCUACGUUUGGUUGGCC
rnacentral:sRNA from 2 species